rfam:Sarcophilus harrisii ctg7180001413956, whole genome shotgun sequence.
CUGUGACCUGGUUCAAGUAAUCCAGGAUAGGCUGGGCCCAUUCUCAUUGGCCUAUUCUUGGUUACUUGCACUCGGGCACGG